rnacentral:rRNA from 1 species
GACGAACGCUGGCGGCGUGCCUAAUACAUGCAAGUAGGACGCAGUUGCGAACGGGUGAGUAACGCGUCGGUAACUGCCUAUUAGAGGGGGCUAACUAUUGGAAACGAUAGCUAAUACCGCAUACUAGUAGAUGGAGCUGCGUUGUAUUAGCUAGUAGGUAGGGUAAUGGCCUACCUAGGGGACGAUACAUAGCCGACCUGGGUGGGUGAUCGGCCACACUGGGACGGAGACACGGCCCAGACUCCUACCGGAGGCAGCAGUAGGGAAACUUCGGCAAUGGGGGGAACCCUUACCGAGCAACGCCGCGGGAGUGAAGAAGGUUUUCGGAUCGGAAAGCUCUGUUGUUAAGGAAGCGGUACUUAACCAGAAAGGGACGGCUAACUACGUGCCAGCAGCCGCGGUAAUUC